rnacentral:tRNA from 1 species
GCUGGCGUAGCUCAAUGGUAGAGCAACUGAUUUGUAAUCAGUAGGUUGCCGGUUCAAGUCCAGUCGCCAGCUCCA